rnacentral:lncRNA from 1 species
ACGAGCCCUCGAUAAUCACCGUGGACCUCCGCGUGCGUUGCCCGAACCUCACGCUGCCAAAGGCCCCAGGGCCCCCCCUCCCUGCCCAACGCUCCCAGCUCGGGCUCCAGGACAUCGGCGGGACCCGCCCCAGCACGAGGACUCACCUGGCCCCCAAGGUAAUUCAUUCGUUCGAUGGUAUUCAUUGAGCGCUUACUUUAUCGGAAUGGACAACUGGGCAACAGAUAGAGACCAUCCCUGCCCAAUGACGGGCUCACGGUCUCAUCCGGGGAGGCAGACGGACAAAAACAAC